CCUACGGGCGGCUGCAGUGGGGAAUAUUGGACAAUGGGGGGAACCCUGAUCCAGCCAUGCCGCGUGUGUGAAGAAGGCCCUCGGGUUGUAAAGCACUUUCAGUGAGGAAGAACGCCAGGUGGUUAAUACCCAUCAGGAAAGACAUCACUCACAGAAGAAGCACCGGCUAACUCCGUGCCAGCAGCCGCGGUAAUACGGAGGGUGCGAGCGUUAAUCGGAAUUACUGGGCGUAAAGCGCGCGUAGGUGGCUUGAUAAGCCGGUUGUGAAAGCCCCGGGCUCAACCUGGGAACGGCAUCCGGAACUGUCAAGCUAGAGUGCAGGAGAGGAAGGUAGAAUUCCCGGUGUAGCGGUGAAAUGCGUAGAGAUCGGGAGGAAUACCAGUGGCGAAGGCGGCCUUCUGGACUGACACUGACACUGAGGUGCGAAAGCGUGGGUAGCAAACAGGAUUAGAUACCCUUGUAGUC
rnacentral:rRNA from 1 species